AGAUGGCGACCGGCGCACGGGUGAGUAACACGUAUCCAACCUGCCGAUAACUCGGGGAUAGCCUUUCGAAAGAAAGAUUAAUACCCGAUGGUAUAAUCAGACCGCAUGGUUUGAUUAUUAAAGAAUUUCGGUUAUCGAUGGGGAUGCGUUCCAUUAGGCAGUUGGUGAGGUAACGGUUCACCAAACCUUCGAUGGAUAGGGGUUCUGAGAGGAAGGUCCCCCACAUUGGAACUGAGACACGGUCCAA
rnacentral:rRNA from 1 species